rnacentral:lncRNA from 1 species
UAAACAGACUGACCAGCUGCUAUGUGUGAAGUAUCUGCUUUCUAAUUGCUUCUGUUGGAAUUCAGGGGAUAAAGGCACUGGCUACACUUAAUUAAUAAGGCAGGACUCACAUAAACUCCAGCUGUGAGCGCAGGACUGGUCUUUAAAGGAUAAGCUCAGGAGGUGAGGCAGAGAGUUUGAUUUCGUAGCAUGAAAUCCCACCACACGCUGCUGGUAGUGUGUCUGUCUGUCCACCUAAGCCUCUUGGUCUGAACUAGACGUGAGGUAUCUAUUGCUGCCUGUGCCCCAUCCCAAAUAAAAUUGAUCAGUCCUCAGAAAUAAAAGAUGUGAGCUUGAAAUCCCCCAAAAGUGGAGAAGUUUGGAUCAAAGGUUUGUUCAGAUUUAACAAAAAUAUGGGCUUUUGCAAAGAUGUAGGCUUGGCCUUUGGCCCUUUUUUUCUGCCUAGUUUCAGAGGAUCUGGAUUUUGCAUCCAGAACGUCUCUCUUUCUCAUCCAGACUGUCUGCCUGAGGGGGUUUGCUACAGGGGUAGGUCUGGUGGGGUGGCUGUACAGCCCAUGCCUCUGGAUCGUUUUCCAGUGAUCUCUUUGAGGAGCACAGUCGCUUUUCUUUUUUGUUCCUUCUCUCUUUCUCUCUUUUUCUCUCUUUCUUUCUUUCUUUCUCUCUUUCUUUCUUUCAUGGCUCAAAAAGGUGACCAGGAAUUUCCCUGAGAUAUAGGCAAGGCCCCUGAAACUCACAUGAAAACGUGAAUGCCACACUGUUCCCCAUUUGUUCCUGUUCCAUUAUCACUGCCAUGGGACACCCCCACACCAGUGCAAGGCCCUCCCAGGCAGAUCACAGCAGCACUUCUGUGGGGUGGCCCCUCUGAAUUUCAAAGCUUGCUGUGUAAGUGUGCUACACUAGGAAACAGUGGAAUCAGAAACAAAGUGGAGGGAUGUUUGCAUGUAGUUAAGAGCCUGUUUUUCCUCACUAGUUGUGUAAGGAAAUGAGCUUCCCGCUUGAGGUGAGGUGUCAUUUGCUGUCCUGAAACCUUUGCAGCCUGGCUGGUCUGCUCCUUUGGGUGCCAGCAGGUCUGUUCCAUGUGUGAUUGCUCUCCCUCAUGUGCCUUAGCAUGUCUUCCAGGAGGUUCUGUUCCAUGAUCUUCCCAUGUAUAGAGGUGAGGGUCACUGGCCUGUAGUUCCCUGUGUCCUCCUUUGUCCUUUCUUGUAAAUGGUAGUGAUGUUUCCCUUUUUUCAGACCCUGGGGACUUAGUGUGACAGCCAUGACUUUUCACAUAUGCUGGAGAGUGGCUCAGCACCCCUAUCAGCCAGGUCCCUUAGGUCCCUUGGAUGCGUGUCAUCUAGCCCCAUAGACUUGUACACGUUCAGUCUCAUGAGGUGAUCUUGGACUUGCCCUUUCAGUGGGGGGAAGUUUGCUCCUCCAGUUUCCACCUCGAGGUUCAGGGAUGUGAGGUUCAGGGGUGUGAGAAAUAUGAGAAUCCUGGCUGCCAUCUCAUUUAAGGAUGAGGACAGUGUCUUUUUUCUUUUUAAGUAUGGAUCAAUCAUGUAUGAAGAUGAACUCCCACUCAGCCUCCCUUGGUCCCUACCUACUUUCAUUUCAUUCUGCUGCUGCUCAUUAUUUUAUGGUUUUGUCCUUGACUGGUAACAUUUCUCUCUUGUUCUUCCUUACAUGCAUCAUUAAGAAUGGGAAGAACUUAUAUUAAAAGCUCAAGCCUCAUGUAGAUCUUAAGCUGUAAAUAAUGUUUUAUACAGAUUCUAAGAUUAUUAAAUCCUUCCAGUUUGCCUCCCUCCUACUCUUACAGUUCAUUUGAUUAGAGUGGAGAUAUUCUUUUGAAAAUUAACUAUUUCUGUUUUGAUUUUGCAAGCAACCUUGGGAAGAUACAGUGUGGCUGUGUGCAUUGAUGAUCAGAAGAUUUGCCAUAGGAAUCCAGAAACACUGCCUUCCAGAGAACCGACUGUUGGCAUGGAAAACAAACACCAGAGAAACCCUGGAAUUCCGAGAUGUAGUUGCCUUUCUGAAUGCAGGCAAGUUGCAAUUAAAAAACAGUUAUUUGGGGAGAGCAGUGCAUUCAAAAUACAGUUCUUUGGAGAGGGCUGGCAGGCACAUCACAAGUGAAAUAAAUUAGUAAUGUGAGGAGAUAGUUAUGCUUGAGGAUUAACGAAUUUUGGACAGCUGUAGGAGCCAACCCACUGGGCUCUGUGCAUUGCCUCGCUGUAACUAUUUAUGCUGCUCCUCUGGAUACCGGGGCAUCACAGAGCCAGGCAUCUGAAGCACAGCUUUUCCCUACAAAUGCAACCAAACCAGCUGCUGCAUUUUGCAGAGAUCCUGACACUAUAGUGCUGAGCUGCUCUCCAUUCCACUUGGUGAAAUCCGCUCACCUCAGUCUGCGUGUUAGGGGUAUGGCCAGUCAGUCAGGCUUUGCUAGUAUGGGGCCGAGCAAGGAGAAAUAUCCUUAGUAGAGAUAUUUAUUGCAAAGCUGCUGAAAGGCUCACAGUAGACAGCCUACACAACGAAACCAUCUCCUUCAAUUAGUCCAUGGUCAUCAAUGAGGUAAAUGUCUCUGCCUUCUGACCCAGACAGGGUGGAGUUUUAAUAACAGACAUAAAUCUGUUGUGCUUCUCUCCUCAUGACCUAACGUAUGCUGUCAGGGCAAUGCAUGCCUCAGAGAAGGAGUAGAAUUUAUGUGUACAAUAAAACAAUAGAGCUUCAGUGCUAUCAGCUGUUUG